UACGUAGGUGGCGAGCGUUAUCCGGAAUGAUUGGGCGUAAAGGGUGCGUAGGCGGCCUGCUAAGUCUGGAGUGAAAGGUACCGGCUCAACCGGUACAGGCUCUGGAAACUGGCGGGCUAGAGAGCAGGAGAGGGCGGUGGAACUCCAUGUGUAGCGGUAAAAUGCGUAGAUAUAUGGAAGAACACCAGUGGCGAAGGCGGCCGCCUGGCCUGUUAACUGACGCUGAGGCACGAAAGCGUGGGGAGCAA
rnacentral:rRNA from 1 species